CCAGCAGCUCAGCUGCCAGCACCAGCAGCUCAGCUGCCAGCACCAGCAGCUCAGCUGCCAGCACCAGCAGCUCAGCUGCCAGCACCAGCAGCUCAGCUGCCAGCAGUGGCCCCACCCACUGCAGUUGAGUCUCCUGCUGCUGCAUCCUGGCAGCCAGGUCUGAUGGUCCAGAUGGCAACCACUGCAGCUGGCGUGGCUGUGGGCCCUGCUGUGGGGCAUAUACUGGGUCAACUAUCAUGGGAAUGGGGUGGCUUAAACAGAGGAAGUAAUGCUGGGCUCACAAGGCCUGACAUCACUUACCAGGAGCCUCUGGGAGACUAGCUGCACAGCAGCAGCAGCCUUGCUUGUAUAAGACAGAACAGUUUCUGGAGUGUUCCCAGAACUAGGGUGAUGUCAAGCUCAGUGAGGGUUCCAAGGAGGUGCUGAAACAGUGCAGACGUGCACAUGGACUGGCCUA
rnacentral:lncRNA from 1 species